rnacentral:rRNA from 1 species
ACCGGCGCACGGGUGAGUAACACGUAUGCAACCUACCUGUAAGCGGGGAAUAACCCGGAGAAAUCCGGGCUAAUACCGCAUAAUACUGAUUUUCUGCAUGGAAGAUUAGUUAAACAUUUAUGGCUUACAGAUGGGCAUGCGUAUGAUUAGUUAGUUGGUGAGGUAACGGCUCACCAAGACAUCGAUCAUUAGGGGUUCUGAGAGGAAGGUCCCCCACACUGGUACUGAGACACGGACCAGACUCCUACGGGAGGCAGCAGUGAGGAAUAUUGGUCAAUGGGCGAGAGCCUGAACCAGCCAAGUCGCGUGAAGGAAGACGGUUCUAUGGAUUGUAAACUUCUUUUGUAAGGGAAUAAAGUGCAGUACGUGUACUGUUUUGUAUGUACUUUACGAAUAAGGAUCGGCUAACUCCGUGCCAGCAGCCGCGGUAAUACGGAGGAUCCAAGCGUUAUCCGGAUUUAUUGGGUUUAAAGGGUGCGUAGGCGGACCCAUAAGUCAGUGGUGAAAGUUUGCAGCUUAACUGUAAAAUUGCCGUUGAAACUGUGGGUCUUGAGUGUAAAUAAAGUAGGCGGAAUGUGUUGUGUAGCGGUGAAAUGCUUAGAUAUAACACAGAACACCAAUUGCGAAGGCAGCUUACUGGGAUACAACUGACGCUGAGGCACGAAAGCGUGGGGAUCAAACAGGAUUGGAUACCCUGGUAGUCCACGCAGUAAACGAUGAAUACUAGCUGUAUGCGAUAUACUGUAUGUGGCACAGCGAAAGCGUUAAGUAUUCCACCUGGGGAGUACGUUCGCAAGAAUGAAACUCAAAGGAAUUGACGGGGGGCCCGCACAAGCGGAGGAACAUGUGGUUUAAUUCGAUGAU